rnacentral:rRNA from 1 species
ACGGGAGAGUAACACGUGGGAACGCGCCCUUCGGUUCGGAAUAACUCAGGGAAACUUGGGCUAAUACCGAAUACGCCCUUACGGGGAAAGAUUUAUUGCCGAAGGAACGGCCCGCGUCCGAUUAGCUUGUUGGUGAGGUAACGGCUCACCAAGGCGACGAUCGGUAGCUGGUCUGAGAGGAUGACCAGCCUCACUGGGACUGAGACACGGCCCAGACUCCUACGGGAGGCAGCAGUGGGGAAUAUUGGACAAUGGGCGCAAGCCUGAUCCAGCCAUGCCGCGUGGGUGAUGAAGGCCCUAGGGUUGUAAAGCCCUUUCGGCGGGGAAGAUAAUGACGGUACCCGCAGAAGAAGCCCCGGCUAACUUCGUGCCAGCAGCCGCGGUAAUACGAAGGGGGCUAGCGUUGCUCGGAAUUACUGGGCGUAAAGCGCACGUAGGCGGCUUCUUAAGUCGGAGGUGAAAUCCUGGAGCUCAACUCCAGAACUGCCUUCGAUACUGGGAGGCUCGAGUCCGGGAGAGGUGAGUGGAACUGCGAGU